rnacentral:rRNA from 1 species
GACGAACGCUGGCGGCGUGCCUAAUACAUGCAAGUGGGACGCAAGGGAACACACUGUGCUUGCACACCGUGUUUUCUUGAGUCGCGAACGGGUGAGUAACGCGUAGGUAACCUGCCUAUUAGCGGGGGAUAACUAUUGGAAACGAUAGCUAAUACCGCAUAAUAUUAAUUAUUGCAUGAUAAUUGAUUGAAAGAUGCAAGCGCAUCACUAGUAGAUGGACCUGCGUUGUAUUAGCUAGUUGGUAAGGUAAGAGCUUACCAAGGCGACGAUACAUAGCCGACCUGAGAGGGUGAUCGGCCACACUGGGACUGAGACACGGCCCAGACUCCUACGGGAGGCAGCAGUAGGGAAUCUUCGGCAAUGGACGAAAGUCUGACCGAGCAACGCCGCGUGAGUGAAUGAAGGUUUCGGAUCUGUAAAGCUCUGUUGUAAGUCAAGAACGUGUGUGAGAGUGGAAAGUUCACACAGUGACGGUAGCUUACCAGAAAGGCG